CCAUUUUUGCUUGCGCAUGCGCAGAUUGAGUACUCGGUGGUAGAUGAUUCUAAAGUUCUGUCUCUUUCUGGCGCUAGUUUAUAUUUACAUAUUUUUUUAUAAAUAAAUUUUAUAUUUUAAAUCAAAAUUUUUUGUUAUUCUUUCAGUUUAAUUUUCAAAAAACUUUCAAUUACUAAAUAAAUACAAAAAAUAACAUUUAUAUACAUCUGUAUAUUUUUUAGGUUAUGUAAUAUUUUUUCAGAAUAAUUCAAUGUAUUACAUCAACGUGGAAUUAAUUUAUGGAACUGCUGCAAUUUUACUGAAAAAUAAUCGGAGUUUAAAUUUAUUUUUAAAAGAUGGAAGUAAAAAGAAGAAGAUUACCAAAGCCGACUGGUACAAAUAAGAAAUAUAUAUUUCUUAUUGGUGGAUUUUUUACAAUACUUAGUUGCGCACUUUUUCCCGCGAUUAUUCUCCCAAUGUUCAAUCCCGAGCCUUGGAAAGAGUACAGAGAAAAAAUAAACGCUCAGAAACAAGGCGUGGGGAAACGAGACUAAUUUGUAAAUAAUUAAAAUUUACUGUAAUUAAUAAAAAUAUUUAUUUAUGUUA